UGCGGAAUUUGUGUUUAGUGGCGCACGGGUGAGUAAAGCAUAGGUAAUCUGCCCUUGGGAUCGGGACAACUACGGGAAACUGUAGCUAAUACCGGAUAAGACCACGUACGGAGACGUAAGUGGUAAAAGGAGUAAUCCACCUAGGGAUGAGCCUGUGUCCUAUCAGGUAGUUGGUAGGGUAAGAGCCUACCAAGCCAAAGACGGGUAGCCGGUCUGAGAGGAUGGACGGCCACACUGGAACUGAGACACGGUCCAGACUCCUACGGGAGGCAGCAGUGAGGAAUUUUGCGCAAUGGGGGAAACCCUGACGCAGCGAUGCCGCGUGAAGGAUGAAGGCCUUCGGGUUGUAAACUUCUUUUGUAGGGAAAGAUAAUGACGGUACCUUAAGAAUAAGCCACGGCUAACUCUGUGCCAGCAGCCGCGGUAAGACAGAGGUGGCAAGCGUUGCUCGGAAUAACUGGGCUUAAAGGGCGCGUAGGCGGUUAAUUAAG
rnacentral:rRNA from 1 species